AACGAACGCUGGCGGCAGGCUUAACACAUGCAAGUCGAACGCCCCGCCCGGGGUGUGGUAGGCGGGUGAGUAACGCGUGGGAAUCUACCCUGAACUGCGGGAUAGCUCCGGGUAACUGGUAUUAAUACCGCAUGUGCCCUGAGGGGCAAAGAUUUUUCGGUUUAGGUUGGGGCCGCGUCCGAUUGGCUGGUUGGUGGGGUGAAGGCCUACCAAGGCGACGCUCGGUGGCUGGUCUGAGUGGAGGAUAAGCCACAUUGGGACUGGGCCACGGCCCAAACCGCGACGGGGGAGAGCAGUAGGGAAUAUUGUACGAUGGGCGCUAGCGUGGUCCAGCCAUGCCGCGUAAGUGAUGAAGGCCCUAGGGUUGUAAAGCUCUUUCACCGGAGACGAGAAUGACGGUACCCGGAGAAGAAGCCCCGGCUAACUUCGUG
rnacentral:rRNA from 1 species